CGGGGCCGCUGGGCCUUCCCAUUGCAGACUGGGCCUUGCAAGGCCCAGGCUGCGGCAAGAAGGCCCAAGCUGCGCAGGAGGUGGGGCCAGGCCACGUGGGAGGCAGGGCAGGCCGCCAUGCAGCCCGCACGGCCUGGCCCCGCCUCCCGCGUGGCCUUAGCCUUGCCGCCAUGUGGGCCGCAUGGCUGCAAGGCCCAGGCCGCACUGGCAAGGCUCUCAGAGACAGACAGAGAGAAAGAAGCAGGGAGGGAAGGGGAUAGAGAAAGGAAGAAAGAGCCAUGCCGGCCGCUUGCCCUUCUCCUCGCCCUUCCUCGCAGCCAGGAGUCGCCCCACCCUGAGCCAGGUCCUGUACCCCUAACUCCAGGUAAUAUGGAAGGCUGGCUGUAUAGUCACUUGUCUGAUGAAGAAGCCAUUGGAUCACUGAAAACUUACAUUAUAUUUUGUGUACACACUGGAGCGGAAAUAAAGACAUUGGUCUUUUGGCGUGGAAUAAAUGGCCAACAUACAAAGAAAUUCUGAAGAAACAAAAUGGCAAUUAUAAUUUAAAAAUUUAAUAAGUAAACAAAAACUACAAGAAAGUAUCCUUGUUCCAGUACAGACAAUUUAAAGAAUACUUUAAUAAGAGUAAGGUAAUAGGAUUCAUGGAAAAAGAAUCCCUGUGGGACAAAAUAAUUCAAUUAGAAAAGAAAGCAAUCACCAAGAUAUACAAGAUCUUAUUGAAUUGGACAAUGGAAACUGAAGUAGUUUAAGAUUGUAUGAUCAAAUGGUCCUCUAAUAUAGGCCAUUCAGUCAGAAUGGAAGACUGGGGAAAAUGCUGGAAUAAAAGACUGAAAUAUACAUAUGCUUAUGAUUUAAAGGAGAACUGGUACAAAAUGAUCUACCAAUGGUAUAUCGCUCCCCCAAAAUUGGCAAGAUGUUACAAAAAAUUACAGGAUAAGUGUUGGAAAUGCGAGUCCCAGGAGGGCUCUUUUAACCACAUGUAGUGGUCAUGUAAAAUAGUGAGCCUUUCCAGGGGAGGAGAAUAAUAAUAAUAAUAAUAAUAAUAAUAAUAAUAAUAAUAAUAAUAAUAAUAAUAAUAACAACUUCAUUUUUAUACCCCGCCCCCAUCCCCCUGAAGGGACUUGGGGCAGCUUACUUGGGGCCGAGCCCAGGCGGAACAGACAAUAUAAAAACGCGACAAUAUAAUACAAAUCAAUAAAACAUAAAAUCAUAAAAUCACAUAUACGGUUAACAUACUGAGAUAAAAUCCUGGGUAGGCUCCUAAAAGAGGACUCGGCCAGAGAAUGAGAAAGAUGCCAAGGUUCAGAUGACAGGAAGAAGACUGGAAGUCAACAUCCAAUCCUCCCCCGCCCUCUUUAAUUUUCCCUUCCCUUUUAUUUCCCUUUUAUUUCUCCUCACAAUCUACCCCUCACUUUCACACCUUCACUUUCCCCCUUUCCUUCAAACUAUUCUUUCCUUUUCCUAGCUUUUUCCCCUCCCCAGAAUCAUCAUAUCCCCCCCCCCUUGUUUUAUGAUAUUGUAAAAGCCCUUUCAAUAAAAUAAAAUAUUUUUAAUAAAAUAAAAUAGUAAACAAUUACUGGAAAAAUCCAUGAAAAAAACUCAAGAAAUACUAAAAAAACAAAAACAAAAAACAAACAAACAAUUGAAGCCAGAAAUUUCCUCUUAGGCAUGAUAGACUUCAAAUUGGAGCUAAGCAAAAAUAUACUAUUCAAUUAUCUGGUAACAGCAACAAGACUGGUGUACGUAAAAAACUGGAAAUGGAGAGAAACCCCAUCAAUAGAAGAUUGGUUAUUAAAAGCAUUAGAUAUCAUGAAUAUGGACACCUUAAUACAACAACUCAAAAACAGCCAGGGGAUUCCAAAAACAAAAAAAAUACAACAGACUGGACACCAGUUAAAGAAUGUAUGAAACAAGAAAGAAUGAAAAUAUUUAUCUAAGUAGGAGAGAACUAUGAAAGAGACUCAACCAAAUAAAAACGAAUGGGCAGUUCAGAAUAAAGAAGAGUAAACUACAAAGACUUUAAACCCCGAUGAAAGAGACUGGAGGUCAACAAACUCCCCAACCCACCAUCCCCCUCCCCCUCUCCUUGACUCUUUCUAUCCUUUUCCCUUUUACCCUUUCUUUUCCCCCCUUUUAAUAUUUUAUUUUACUGAAAAACUUUCAAUAAAAUUUACUUUAAAAAAAGA